CAAAAUGUGUACUACUGUGUCCUACAGGAAAUUCUAGCUACAAAAGCAUUGGAGCUUGUGGCAUUGCUGUCUGACCCAGACACUUUGAACCAUCUAGUUGUUACUCAGCUGGAUGCAGUGCCAACAGAAACCCCAAGAAACCCCAUGAAAGUACAGAACUCAGACAAAGGAGAUUCUCCAUCCUCUGUGAUCUGUAAGGAUAUAGACAUGCAACAAGAUGUCAAAAUUGCCUGUAUGUCUGAAGACGACAAACCUAAAAAGAAAGGCAAUCUGUUUAAAUAUUACUGUCAUAAAAUAACUAAAAAACUUGAACCAAAGAGGAAAAAUAACAAAAAGAGUGAGGAU